rnacentral:rRNA from 2 species
AGUUUGAUCAUGGCUCAGGAUGAACGCUGGCGGCGUGCCUAAUACAUGCAAGUCGAGCGAACUGAUUAGAAGCUUGCUUCUAUGACGUUAGCGGCGGACGGGUGAGUAACACGUGGGCAACCUGCCUGUAAGACUGGGAUAACUUCGGGAAACCGAAGCUAAUACCGGAUAGGAUCUUCUCCUUCAUGGGAGAUGAUUGAAAGAUGGUUUCGGCUAUCACUUACAGAUGGGCCCGCGGUGCAUUAGCUAGUUGGUGAGGUAACGGCUCACCAAGGCAACGAUGCAUAGCCGACCUGAGAGGGUGAUCGGCCACACUGGGACUGAGACACGGCCCAGACUCCUACGGGAGGCAGCAGUAGGGAAUCUUCCGCAAUGGACGAAAGUCUGACGGAGCAACGCCGCGUGAGUGAUGAAGGCUUUCGGGUCGUAAAACUCUGUUGUUAGGGAAGAACAAGUACGAGAGUAACUGCUCGUACCUUGACGGUACCUAACCAGAAAGCCACGGCUAACUACGUGCCAGCAGCCGCGGUAAUACGUAGGUGGCAAGCGUUAUCCGGAAUUAUUGGGCGUAAAGCGCGCGCAGGCGGUUUCUUAAGUCUGAUGUGAAAGCCCACGGCUCAACCGUGGAGGGUCAUUGGAAACUGGGGAACUUGAGUGCAGAAGAGAAAAGCGGAAUUCCACGUGUAGCGGUGAAAUGCGUAGAGAUGUGGAGGAACACCAGUGGCGAAGGCGGCUUUUUGGUCUGUAACUGACGCGAGCGCGAAAGCGUGGGGAGCAAACAGGAUUAAAUACCCU